rnacentral:rRNA from 1 species
AACGCGAAGAACCUUACCUGGUUGACAUAGUAAGAACUUCAGAGAUGGAUUGGUGCCUGGGAACUUACAUACAGGUGCUGCAUGGCUGGAGCGUGGUGAGAUGUUGGGUUAAGCCGCAACGAGCGCAACCCUUUCUUAUUUGCCAGGGUUAAGCCGGGAACUUUAAGGAUACUGCCAGUGACAAACUGGAGGAAGGCGGGGACGACGAAGAAUGGCCCUUACGACCAGGGCUACACACGUGCUACAAUGGGGUACAAAGGGUUGCUACCUAGCGAUAGGAUGCUAAAAAAAGCCGAGUAGCGGAUUGGAGUGCAACGACCAUGAAGGGAAGCUAGUAAGCGGAAGAAUGCCGCGGUGAAUACGUCCGGGUUGUACACACCG